rnacentral:rRNA from 1 species
CGGGAGGUAACACGUGGGUAACCUGCCUACUGAGGGGGGAUAACAGAGAGAAAUAACUGCUAAUACCGCAUAAGCACACAGUACCGCAUGGUACAGGGUGAAAGAUUUAUCACCAUAAGAUGGACCCGCGUCUGAUUAGCCAGUUGGCAGGGUAAAAGCCUACCAAAGCAACGAUCAGUAGCCGAUCUGAGAGGAUGACCGGCCACAUUGGGACUGAGACACGGCCCAA